rnacentral:rRNA from 1 species
CAUUACCGAGUUAUACAACUCAUCUACCCUGUGAACAUACACUAAUACGUUGCCUCGUGCGGGAACAGACGGCCCCGUAACACGGGCCGCCCCCGCCAGAGGACCCCCUAACUCUGUUUCUAUAAUGUUUCUUCUGAGUAAACAAGCAAAUAAAUUAAAACUUUCAACAACGGAUCUCUUGGCUCUGGCAUCGAUGAAGAACGCAGCGAAAUGCGAUAAGUAAUGUGAAUUGCAGAAUUCAGUGAAUCAUCGAAUCUUUGAACGCACAUUGCGCCCGCCAGUAUUCUGGCGGGCAUGCCUGUUCGAGCGUCAUUACAACCCUCAGGCCCCCGGGCCUGGCGUUGGGGAUCGGCGGAAGCCCCCUGCGGGCACAACGCCGUCCCCCAAAUACAGUGGCGGUCCCGCCGCAGCUUCAUUUGCGUAGUAGCUAACACCUCGCAACUGGAGAGCGGCGCGGCCACGCAAGUAAAACACCCAACUUCUGAAUGUUGACCAUUCGUAUCAGUAGGAAAACCCGCUGAACUUAAGCAUAUAAAGGGGGGAAAAAAAUGUG